UACGUAGGGGGCAAGCGUUGUCCGGAAUCAUUGGGCGUAAAGCGCGUGUAAGCGGUCCGGUAAGUCGGUUGUGAAAGUCCAGGGCUCAACCCUGGGAUGCCGACCGAUACUGUCGGACUAGAGUUCGGAAGAGGCGAGUGGAAUUCCCGGUGUAGCGGUGAAAUGCGCAGAUAUCGGGAGGAACACCAAUGGCGAAGGCAGCUCGCUGGGACGUUACUGACGCUGAGACGCGAAAGCGUGGGGAGCAAACAGG
rnacentral:rRNA from 1 species